rnacentral:lncRNA from 1 species
AUGAUACUGUCAAUUCAACAACAUGUGUAUUUACUUAAGCCACUGGAUUGCCCAUUAGAAGAUGCAGGCAUCGCUCAAGUAGUAGCUCUUCUUACGGCUCUAGAAGAAAACAAAGUCGAAGUCAUUCAAGGGGUCGUGGAAAAUCCUAUAGAGUUCAGAGGUCUAGGUCAAAAAGCAGAACAAGAAGGUCCAGGUCAAGAGCUUGUCCACGUUCUCAUAGUCGAAGCAGUGAAAGGUCCAGCCAUAGAAGAACCCGUAGUCGGCCUUGGGAUAGAGAACAACGUAAAGGCAGAGAUAAAGAGAAAAGAGAAAAGGAGAAGGAUAAAGGCAAGGACAAGGAAUUACACAUCAAAUGUGGCCACCAGCUGAGCAGGCCAAAGCCAGACUACAACUGGUUCUUGAAGCUGCUGCAAAAGCUGAUGAAGCAUUGAAAGCCAAAGAAAGAAAUGAGGAAGAAGCAAAGAGAAGAAAGGAGGAAGACCAAGCCACCUGGUAGAACAAGUGAAAAGAGUAAAAGAAAUUGAAGCUAUUGAAAGUGAUUCUUUUAUUCAGCAGACAUUCAGGUCAAGUAAAGAAGUCAAAAAGUCAGUGGAACCUACUGAAGUGAAACAUGCGACUUCAACAUCAGGACCAGCAUCAGUACUUGCUGAUCCACCCAGUACUGAAAAAGAAAUAGACACUACCAGCAUCCCUACUGCAAUCAAGUAACAAGAUGACAAUUCUCUGGCCCACCCAAAUUUAUUUGUUGACAAGUCUCCCUAUUUUAAGGUCAGCUGAUUUACAACCUUAAUACCAUGAGGGAGGUCUUAAUGCAAUUUCGUCAUAGAAUGUAACAUAUUCACAUGUUCCAGGGAUUAGGACAUGAAUAUCUUUGAGAAAAUCAUUUUGUGCCUGCCUCAAUCCCUAACCCACUGUUUUUUCCACUUCUAAGACUAACAAGUAGCCAGAGAAGCAGUAGAGCUAAAAUGAAAAGCUUUCGAAAGUGAUGCUGAGAAGAGACUUACCUGUCACCACCUAGGAUAUACUCAGAUUUUUUAUUAUGUUAACAUUUCCUGGAAGAGUGGUUCUAUUGUAACAACGCAUGGCUUUUCUACAUGUGAACAGUCAGGGUUUGAAAUUGUAUGAAGGGGCCCACUUGGUUAAUCCUUCGCCUGCAGCGCCGGCAUCCCAUAUGGGCACCAGGUUCUAGUCCCGGUUGCUUAUUAAAAAAAGAAAGAAAGAAAUUGUAUGAAAUGCAUUUUCUGGAAAAAUAAACUUGCCAUUAAGUCAUUCA